rnacentral:rRNA from 1 species
GACGGAGGAUGCAAGUGUUAUCCGGAAUCACUGGGCGUAAAGCGUCUGUAGGUGGUUAAAAAGUCUAUUGUUAAAAAUUGAAGCUUAACUUCAAAGAUGCAAUGGAAACUUUUAAACUUGAGUAUGGUAGGGGUAGAGGGAAUUUCCAGUGGAGCGGUGAAAUGCGUAGAUAUUGGAAAGACCACCAAUGGCGAAGGCACUCUACUGGGCCAUUACUGACACUGAGAGACGAAAGCUAGGGGGAGCAAAUGGGG